rnacentral:tRNA from 1 species
AAGAUUUUAAGUUAAUUAAACUAUUUGUCUUCAAAACAAAAAAUAUGAUAAAUAAAUCUUU